UACAGAGGGUGCAAGCGUUGUUCGGAAUCAUUGGGCGUAAAGGGCGCGUAGGCGGCAAUUCAAGUCAGCUGUGAAAUCUCCGAGCUUAACUCGGAACGGUCAGCUGAUACUGUUUUGCUAGAGUACAGAAGGGGCAAUCGGAAUUCUUGGUGUAGCGGUGAAAUGCGUAGAUAUCAAGAGGAACACCUGAGGUGAAGACGGGUUGCUGGGCUGAUACUGACGCUGAGGCGCGAAAGCUAGGGUAGCAAACGGG
rnacentral:rRNA from 1 species